UCGGUUCUAGUUCCGCUGACAAUAUUGUAGACUUUGUGAACCAAAGCCUUCUUGUGCGGUCCUGCCCAAUAUCUCUCAUAGCCUGUAGACGUAGGCUCGUGAAUACAAGGAACAGCAUUGGUUGCUUGAAAUAAUUAUUGAUGGCUACUAAGAAAAAUAUAAAAUAAAUGAAUGACUAAAUAAGACUUAUUCUCCUAGUUUGACUACUGGAGGCCUUUGCAGGUCAGAAACGAGGUAUUGUUAUAUUCAACAACUUUUGGGAUUCUAUAAACUCACUUUUAUUUUGAGUACAAACUUUUUUUUCUUUUUUUUUUCUAGACCAAACGACAGUAAAAACUUAAUUAUACAUUUGUUUCGUUCAUCUUCUGAUCCUCCGAAAGUGUGUUUACUUUUUAAAAGACAGUCAAGUCGACAAGUUUUUUUUGUAGUUCGUAGAUUUGAAAUAAACAUUUUUCAUUCACUCUUUUUUACUAAAGUAAUGAUGCAUUCUGUUUUGAAAGAAAUAUUGGCUGCCGGGAUACAUUCAUGAUGUAGAGGUCACGUGACAUUCACUUGUAAAGAGAACAUUCAAAUGAGUGACCAAAAGUUCACACCGGCUCACAUAAAUCUGAGACAACAAUGUGGACCUCAAUGAACCUGUGUUUUGUAGGCUAAAUAGUUGUUUAGUCUUUGGCCAGUUCUAUUGAAGAUAUUGCCUGAACGUCCGAAUGACGUCAUCGUGACCUUGUAAAGUGGCAGCCAUUAGCUUUUUAGUUUAGACUCUACGACGCCGACGUUGUCUUGGUAACAGAUGAAUCGUCUGCUGUAAGACUUCACCUCGGGUAUUUUUGAACUCCAGUUCUUCCGUUGAUAGCGAGGAAGUCCUUGUUAAAGAGAACUAUUUGUGUGUGUGCCUUUUGUGUUCUCAUUGUAAAAUCGCUUCUCUUUUUUUUUUUUUUUUCAUUGAGUUUAUAGCUAUCGUGUGUAAAUUUGCUACAAGCUAACAAUGAGAAAUUGGUGACACUAAUGUAUUUCCUUAAAGAUAAAUGAAUUUCCAAUAGCAGAAUUUGAAUCCAUAUAAUCUGGACAUCACAGAGGAUCUGGACAUAGCACAGGAGGGACAGAGUUACAUUUCUUAUUGCAGGUCUACAUGGCAGGCUAUAACCGAGACCUUCGAUGAGUGUAGACAAUUUUUGGGUGUACUAAUUUUGGUUUUAAAAAAAAGUUUUUGUGUUCAAAUAGAAUAGCUUGUUUUCUAAUUCUAAUAUGGAAUUUCCUGUUUUAUUUGAUUCACAAACGUUUCUACUGAGAAGAUUUUUUGUAUGUUUGUGUUUCUGUACCAUUUGAUGAAGUAAUUUAGUGAAGCAGAUGUUUCAUUGAUAGCCGCCCCUUAUCAAUACACUUCAACUUAACAAAGAAAAUUGAUGUUGAGCACUUCCGUCUUUGUGACCUUGACUCUUUGUCCCGCCGAUGUUCUUCCUUGUCAGCAUCGGCAAGUAUUAAUCAAUGAAUCUACAAUAAACAACUGCUGUAGCUCAAGUAAACGAACUACAGCUCAAGAUGGUCACAUUGGAAGAGGUGAAUGGAGAAUUUAACCUGACCGUGGACUACAAUUCAUGCAGGCAGUUCUGCUCCGCCUGUGAUCGCAUUGAGGACGCUGUCGUCUGCUUGGAGAGCUACAUCUUCCCAACUCCUCUGGAGUGGUUCCUCAUAUGUCUCCACCUGGGGCUCUUCACCAUCGGAGUGGUGGGCAACAUUCUAGUAUGCUUUGUGGUUCUGCGCUCUAAGCACAUGCAGACGGUGACCAAUCUCUUCAUUGUCAACCUGGCCUUUGCCGACGCUGUGGUACUUGUCGUAUGCUCACCUCCCUCUGUACUGCAGUCCGUCACGGAGACUUGGUUCAUGGGGGACAUAAUGUGCAAGAUGGUCAUAUUUUUACAGACAACGGUUGUAAGUGUCUCUGUACUGACGCUGUGCGCCAUUGCAGUGGAGAGGUACUUCGCCAUCUGCCGGCCUCUCAAAUCCAGAAUCACUCUCAGAAAGGUCACGGUCACUGUCCUAAUCAUUUGGGUCAUCAGUGCUGCAAUGGCCUCGCCCAAUCUGAAUAAUUACGUGCUGGAAAUGUUCCGGACACCGGAACUGUCCAGUUUUCUCAAGAGGUGUCAUCUAGGAAUGGACAACCAGAUGGAGGCAGUGUACACCCUCUUCCUGGUCACCUUACUCUACAUAGUGCCCAUGGUCAUUAUUGGCAUCUUCUACCUGAUCAUCUCACAUCAUCUAUGGAAUGUCCGAGUGCCCGGAAGUGUCGUGCGUAACACGACAUAUGAAAGUGGCUACAGGACCCACGCUGAGGUGCAGCUAGCCUCCAGGAAGAAAGUCGCCAAGAUGUUAAUCGCUAUUGUCCUGCUGUUUGCUGCCUGUUAUUUCCCAAUCAAUUGUCUUUUUAUAAUCAGACAGACGGCCAUCAUGGACCAGUACACCGAGUCUCCGAUCAUUCCCAUCGUUUUCAUGUUUGCUCACUGGUUGUGCUAUUUCAACAGUGCUAUGAACCCCCUCAUCUACAACUUCAUGAGUGUGAAGUUUAAAAAAGAGUUCCGGAACGUGUUUUCUUGCCACAAGAGACAAAACACGCCCUUACACCAAGAGAGCACCUGGUUUCACAGCACCCGGAUGGUGCGCCAACCCACCAACAACAGCAACCACAGCUCCUGCCGCAUGCUGCGGGUUCACGAAGUGACCUACCCUGCAUUGUGUGAGCUCAGUUCACAUCACAGUACUGACGGCGAGAUCAAGUUAAACGGUGGUCAGUCUGUAUGAAAGAUUUCCGUCCACUGGACAUAGGUGACAUGAUCGCCACAUUGGGAGAUUUACGUCCAGUGAACAUAGUGGACAGAAUCCCACCUUCCUGUUCUAUUGUCCCGUAUAGUGGACAGAAUCCCACCUUCCUGUUCUAUUGUCCCGUUCUUCUGAACGUACGCCGUGUUGAUAGCCACAGACAAUAAUUUUGUCUCGGAAAUUAUGCUGCCACUUGUGUUGAACUGCACGCGCUCAGUUCAGAAAGUAAUUUGAAGACAUUCUACAUUUAGUGCCAACUGCAAGCAUUGAAUUCAACGUUGAAUCGCUAACCUAAUUCUACUGGAAAUAUUUGAAUGUACAGUGCAAAAAUACUGUUUAAUUUGCUAUUUACAAAUGACAUUACAUUAUACAUUACAUCCUCUUCUUCUUAGAUCUAAGUGUUUUCAUAUGAAACAUUAUAUCUGCUAUGAGCUGCCUUUUGGUUUGUAAAUAAGGUAGUUCUACUUCGGCGUACUCACAAAGAGAGUUACUUUAAUAAAGUUACUUGAAUAAGGUUACUUGAAUAAGGUUACUUGAAUAAAGUUACUUGAUUAAAGUUACUUGAAUAGAGUUACUUGAAUAAAGUUACUUGAAUAAAGUUACUUGAAUAAAGUUACUUCUCUGAGUACACGUUGAAACAUAUAUACAGAUAUGUGGAGAUAUCCUCAACCAUUGUCAAUUAUGAACACGACUCGAUAAAGACUCUUCAGGUGUUACUGUUUCAUGAAAUUAUUGUCUGGUCAGAGUAUUUGAUAACACAAAUAAUUCUAUAUUAUGAUUAUUAUUCUUGAUAACUUUUGUUUUAAAAUGUUGGAUGAGUUUUGAUUAUUCUACGUCUAUUGUCAACGUUUUAGAAGUCUUCUUCAACUUUUUAACACUGGAGCUUGCAUAAGAGAUAGAACAGGACAAGUGGUGACUGCACUUUUUUGUUCUUGUUUUUAAUGACUUAUCAAAUUUAAAAUAAACUUUGAUCUUUUUACGAAAGUUAUUAAAACACAUUUGAGAUACAAUACAGUAUGUUUCUGUAGGAAUGUAUACGUGACUGUUGAUCCUUCACUUACAUCACCACAUGGUGGUAGACGUUCUGUGCCGGAGCAUAUAUCUUGUGAGGCCUCUGUGCUAAUUAAUGUGUAGUAUUCAUAUUUCUUUCGCACUGCCAUGAAGCAUCAAAGAAUUUUCAGUGAGUCUUGCGGAGCUCGUGGUGCACUAUAACCUUUACGCUGUGUGUGUGUGAGAGAGAGAUGAGAACUCAACAUUUGUGUCUGCAUUCAUCUCUACAUUUUCAUUCAGACAAGUCGUUUAGAUCUCCACGUGACUCAUUGGAGAUUCUCAUUCAUGGAGGAAACCCCACAAGCUUUUUUUUUGAACAGACUAUGGAAGAAGUGAUAAGCGAAGUAUUUUAUUAAAUCAUAUAAUAAAUUGUGUGGUCUUUUCAGCAUCAAAAGAAUCAAAUUUCUAAGGUUCUUUUUUUGCUUGUAGCAUGAAUUUACAUUUAUUUUUAGUUGGCAACGGUCUUUUACUAUGUGAUUGGUAUUCUUGUGUUUUUCUUUCUUCACUAUAUGUACAUAAUGUGUUUUGCUUGUUUUUAAUUAAUAACGAAGAAUUGGGAGAGCAAAUGGUUUGAAAAUAGGAGUAUAAUUUUUGUUAAUUUUUCUACCCUUUAUUUGCUAUUCAUUUUAAACUGUUUUAGUUUAUUCAAAUUUAAAUGACCAAAUUUAAAACGAUGUAGACUUUUUUUCUUGUUUUUCCCAUGAGGUGGGCUCAAAUGUGAAAUUACCAUUUCAAAUUUUUGUUUAUUAAAUUAUGACAAACAUAAAUCCUAAAAUAAACUGAUAUUAACAACUAA